UCUUGCCCCUUCUGAGGCACCGCAAACAAACCUAAUUCCUGGUGUCCCCUAGUCUUGGCGGAGGAGCCUUUUAGAUGAGCCCCGAAAGGCCGGGCAGUGAGAACAAGCUCUUUGGGGCUACCAAACAGAAGCACCAAUGCCUGUUGUGUGGCCAACCCUUUUGGAUCUCAGCAGGGAUGAAUGCAAACGGAUUCUUCGAAAAUUGGAAUUGGAGGCAUAUGCUGGAGUUAUCAGUGCACUUCGGGCACAAGGGGACCUCACCAAGGAAAAGAAAGAUCUUCUUGGAGAACUCUCAAAAGUCCUUAGCAUCUCAACAGAGCGCCACCGUGCUGAAGUUCGGAGAGCAGUAAACGAUGAACGGUUAACAACAAUUGCACAUAA
rnacentral:lncRNA from 1 species